AAAAUACUCCCUCCGUCCAGAAAUACUUGUCGGAGGGAGUAUCUAGAAUGGAUGAACUAAAAUACAUCUAGAUACAUUCAUUUCUCCGACAAGUAUUUUCGGAUGGAGGGAGUACUCG
rfam:Triticum aestivum genome assembly, contig: Triticum_aestivum_CS42_TGACv1_scaffold_570230_7AS